GACAGAGGAUGCAAGCGUUAUCCGGAAUGAUUGGGCGUAAAGCGUCUGUAGGUGGCUUUUUAAGUCCGCCGUCAAAUCCCAGGGCUCAACCCUGGACAGGCGGUGGAAACUACCAAGCUGGAGUACGGUAGGGGCAGAGGGAAUUUCCGGUGGAGCGGUGAAAUGCGUAGAGAUCGGGAAGAACACCCGUGGCGAAGGCGGCUCUCUGGGACGGUACUGACGCUGAGACGCGAAAGCGUGGGGAGCGAACAGG
rnacentral:rRNA from 1 species